CCAGAGUCCUCAGGGGCAGCAGGAAGAGGAAGUGAACACACAGUAAGAGAGCUAUGCUCUAGAACCCCUGGCUUCUGACCUAAGCCAUUGCAGGCAUGUGGCUACAUUUCCUGAAUCAAAGGUUUAUUAAAAAGGAUAGCACCAUAGAUACAGCAUCUAAAGGGAUCAUCACAGAAGAGCAAAACCAGGCCACCCUCAAGGAAGCCGAAAGUGUCUUAGGCUAAGCAUGGACAGUCUAAAACUCUGGGCCAGACUUGCUUCAAUAUUCUCAGGUGCGGACCAGUGCAAAGUGGUGAUUUUUGUGGGAUCCACCAAUCAAAACAGCAGGAUCUCAAGCCUGGGACUCAACCCAAGCUCUGAAAGUGAUCCCUUGAUGAACCUGUACUCUGUCUGAAUUGACAUUAACCCCAUAAGGCAUUAACCUAGAAAAUAACAUUUAAAUACUUAUGUAUGCUGUGUAAUUGUUUGUUACCCACAAGUCUCUACAAUAAAAUUAUCAACUACUCAACAGCAGUGUCCAGAUGCCUGCAUUUUAACUACAUAGAGGCACAGUUUCAGGUUGCUGGAUCCCUUUUCUUCCACAUCAAUGCUGAGGUUAAAACAACAAGGAGAAAAUGCAAUUCUUCUGGCAUAAUUUUUAAUCCCAACUUUUUAGAAGCGCAUUCUUCUACAGCAUGAUAUGCUAGCCAUGCCUGAGACACAGUUAUAAUCGUUGUUACAGUUAUGGUUCUUAACCAUUCCAAAUGUGCAACUCUCAAUGACUUUACCAGAAACAGACAGAUGAUUUGAUUUUGUAAAAAUGUAGCUUUCGGUAAUGCUGGUAAC